GCCUCUCCCUCCAGGGUUCCGGGUUGGGAAGAGGGGGGCGAGGGGUGUUUUCGCGGGUCAUCGCGAAGAGCCUAGAGGCCAAGCCCCAGCGCGAGCUGGGGCGAGAGGCGUGUGCCGGGCUCGCAGCACGGCCCGCGGCGCGGCGCGUUCAAAGCCCACCCGCUUCUCGGUUUUCUCCGGACUCCUUGUCUCCCGCUAACUACCCGCCCCCACCUUCCUUGCUCGGACGCCUUCAUUUUCGGCGGGAGACGCCUGUCGCCUUCGGGGCGCCUGGCACGUCGGUGAGAGGAGCUGGGGGGCUCGCCGGCGCAGCCUGCCGGGCAGUCGCCGCCUCCUCCGCCAGAUCUGCGCUCGCGGGAGAAGAGAGCCGCCUUCCCGCGUUGCCCCUCCGCUGGCCUCUCUGGGUCUCCGCGCGCAGACAGCCUGGCCCGCCUAGGGAAAGAAUGAGUGUGGGACGUGACCCGUAGUGUGUGGUUGUGCAUUCACGCAGGUAAACGCUCUCUGGCAGACCCGCUACCACUUCACACAAGCAGCUCAGCCUCCGCGCACACAGACACGCACCGCACCGCCCACGGCCUCAAACACCCUUCCCAGCGACCCUCACACAGCUCAGGCGCUCCCAACCCUUGGACCAACACACAGGCCUGCCCAACGGGGAGGGCACACUUUGGUUUAAGUGCACACCUCAUGCACGCCCACAUGUUCUCCACUGCGCGUUCGCCCACGCAUAGCCAGGCGCCACGCGCAAAUAAUCAUAGGUACCGCCGCUCCAUACGUGCGCACGCGUCCACGAACACAAGCAUUCUCACAUUCUCUCCCAACUUGUGUGUGUGUGUGUGUGUGUGUGUGGCAAAUGGCAGUUGCAGAUAAGGAGACACUGGCCUCCGGAGGAAAGUUCUGUUCCCAGGAAGGGGUCGCUACUGCCGACUGCCAGAGCACAUCUGGCCCUUAGCAGAGGUGAGCAGAGAAGGCUGCACAGCUCUUAAGCCAGCUAGGGGUGCAGGGCGCACGCUGCGGCUCUCUGAAAGUGGAAAUAGCAUCUCCCUUCCCCUCGCCCCUCCCCCACUCAUGGGGCGCCUUCAAAGUGAGGGGGUCUCUAGAGCAUGAAGUUGGGGAGCCCUUUCCCAGCAGACUCCUUCACUCUUGGGCCCUCUUCAGUUGGGGAAGGGAAGCAGCAGGUCCCAUCUUUGGCUAACCCGGAGAUCCAUUUUUCCCUCCUUUCCACCCUUCUUUCUGCCCAUUCACCGGCUCUGACAGCAAACCAGACCUUACAGAACAGCCAGUCACGGAGCCCAGCGAAAGAGCCGGCCCAGUAGGCCUGGGAGUCUCAGGAAGGCCAAAGAUGGAGGCUCUCCCCAACUGCUCAUCUCUACUGCUGGGUGUGUGUAGAAGUGGGGGCGUGAGAGAGGAGGCGAAUGAGCUCCCAGCUCUGUAAUUUGGAGAGGACCCCCUGAAUUCUGGGGAAAACCACAGCCGUAGCAAGAAGGGCUUUCCUUCAUGCUCAGAGACUGCAUUCUCAGCUCUUACAAUGUCCCUGAGAGGUCUCCCUUGAUCCUACAUUUUUAGGGUGGAGAAACUGAGGCUCAGCAUGGACUUGGCUCUCUUAUCAGCCAGCACUGAGAGGUGAACACUCUCCGUCUCCCCUCUCUACGUCCAAGGACAAAAUUUCCUGGCGUUUCACUCUCCCAUGUGCCUCUGUGUAGGCGGGGAGUGGAGAGAAUGGGGCUUAGAAAUGCCUCUGCCAUCAUUACACAGCCCUGGCUUCCCAGGGCCAAGGGGACAGAGAGCCCCCAUUGGGGAACUGAUGGUGAUAAAAUAGCAAUGACAACUACGAAUACUAGAUAAUAACAGGCUCAUCCACUGCUGCCCAGGCACCAGGCGCUGCUCCUCACUCGAUGAACUGCCCUUGUCUGCUCCUAACCUUCCUCUUGGCUGUCAAUCCUUUGAAAACUAGUCCGACCUGCCCCCGCCCCCAGAAGGUGCAUAUUUGUGACAUUCGUAGAAUGAUUUUGAAGGUUUCACCAAAUGUCUGGAGCCCAUCUGUGAACCUGUGAGGCACCAACCAUGAACUCAGGACCCUGGUUAAGUGUCCCUAAGAGACUUGUGUAAUAUUCACCGAUGCCCCUACCAAGUCAGUAUAAUUUCCCUCCUCAUUCACAGAUGGAGCUCUGCGAGGUCACUCCAGGUCCUGGGUCACCCUGCAAAGCCAGUAUCCAAACCUGGCCUGAUUGCAGAACCAGGGCGUUAAGUGUCCUGACCACGGGGUGAGGCUCAGCGGUGCUCAGGGCAGAGGGGCCCCGCUGCCGCGAACCCCAAAGGCAGGGGAAUUUGAACUCGCCCCACCAUGUAAGGAUGAUGCAUAAGCUCUUUGCACCUUAGUUUCUUUAUCUGAAAAAUGGAACUCAUCAUGGUUCCUAUUUCUUGGAGUCGUACGGAGGGUUGGACAAGACCAUGCAGGGAAGGCUUAGGUUGUACAAACAGAAACAAAAACCCCAGGGACUCAGCUCCAGGGAUGGAGGAGAAAAUGCAGACAGGGACAGAGAUCGCGGGCAGCCUUUUGCUCUUGGAUUAAAAUCCAUGAAGACCGGCCCCCUCCCACCCCAAAACAAAUCUGCGCCCCAUCUCUGGCCCCAAGAAUCCUGAAAUUGGCCGAGCAGGGUGGGGGGUGUGUAAAAACGGACACGACUGCAACGUCUCCCACUCCCCAGGCCCAAGGUAUUUUUACUAGCUAAUUGCUUAAGCGAAGCCGCCCGGGCCGAGAGCGCGCCGUAACCCGAGCGGGGAACCAGAUCCCGCUCCGAGGGAGCCCAGGCCGGCCGCGCGGGCGGGGCAGGGGGCCGCCGACCACCCACCGCGAGGGCAGCCGCCCCGCCGGCCACCGCCGCCCGCGCUCGGCAUUAACGCCGGGCCCGCGCCCUCCUCGCCCGCCCCCGCUCCCUCCAACCCCCUGCGAGGCGAGGUUCAAACGACGCCUCAAGGUAGGGCGGCCAGCCAGGACCCGACGCGGGAGCUGGGCGGGAGGGAAGCGGCCUGUCCUCGGGGCUUCGGAAGGGAGGGAAGGAGGACCCGGCCGGGGGAAACGAAACUUCACGGCUGGCGGAGGAGCGCGGGAGGGAUAUUUGUGGGUGAAAGCGCAGCCCUGGGGACUAGGGGACUGUGGGGAAAUAUCAGGCCCAGCGGGUGGAUUAUAAGAAGGUCUGUGUACAGAUACCUGAGAUACUUCUCGCACGCUCUAAUUGUGCACGCGUCAUGCUGCUGGCGUGCAGAGGACUGUGGCCCGUACAGCCAGCACAGGGAAGGGGAGAACCAAAGUCUCCCUUGGCAGAAGAGUGUGAGGUGGGCGUCCAGUGUGAGGGGCUGGGCACGCAGAACAGUGAGAACUGUGCACAUAUAUCAGCCUCUGUGCGGGACAUUCCAGAAGGAUGUCGGUACCAUGCGGUGGUUUCACGUGUAAUGAAUAUUUUAAGAUGUGAGCAAUGUAACUUGUUAUGGAAGCCGAAUAUUUGAGUACAAAAUGAGGUGCUCUCUACACAGAAUAUGAGGAAAUGUGUGCACAGCAUAAUAGUGUUAUGUACACAGAUUCUUUCAGAUGUGUGCAGGAUAGCAUGUUACACAGACGUUACAUGUUCCUCUGGGAGGCGUGCAGCAAAUAACGUAUUCCAGACACGGAGUAUUGCAGGUUCUGUGAGCAUAAAACCUAGGAUACAUGUAGACUGCGUGUGCCCUGCAAUGGGUUCCAUGCAGGGUGCAUUUAGAGUUGUAUACAGUGCAGUGCCUGAGGAAACAGAACUCCGUGGGAGACCAGUGGAUGCAAAAUGAAUUCUGGCUACAGCACGUUGCAAGGACAGGGUCCACGUGGUGACCAGUACUCUCUCCGCCCAAGCGUCAGGCCAUGUGUGUACAGUAGCGCAUGGCUAUGCGAAGGGAAGACCGUCCCAGGGUUUCCACGCCGCCUGACACGCAGUCAUAGUAAGAAGGCAAUAAUGCAGUGACCACACAGCGAUCGGUUUCGGAACCCUGCCUGUGCCCUGGCUAGGCGCCUCAAGGUCAUCACCAGCUCACAAAAUCCCACUGUAAUGCUGAUUCUCUUUUGAUCUCAGGUGCCAGGGAAGCGAAAUGACGCUCUGACUUUAUUUUUGUAGCCAUCGAGUGACAUUUACCGGCUUUGUGGCUCUGGGAGGGGUGUGGUGGCAGCUCUUGGUGUGGUGUGGAGAUGCGGGGACAUGUGUGUCGGGUUCCCAGUGGGCCUGUGAGAGGCUGUGUGCCCAGGGCACGGAGCCACCUAUCUGCAGUGGGCAGAGGGAAGACGCCGGCGCAGGCGAGACCUGCGGAACCUGCAGCAGAAGAGGCCCCAAAUCCCGGGGUCCCCCAGUGUCUGGGGGCGAUGGCACUAUCAGGAGAGCUCCUGACCCAAGCCACACAUAUUAGGGGUGCUGUCUUCACUUGUGCCUGCUGCUGCCUGAUCAAUCUCAAACCAAGGUACUCAGUCAGGAGCAAGUAGCAAGCCAGGCUCUGGGCUCCUCCCCAGACUCUUCAUGAAGGUACCACAAGGUGAGGAGGAGAGAAAGGUGGCACGCGCUGGUCUACCCAGCCCUGUCACACCCACUUAGCACAGAUGGGACUGGGAACCCACCUGUGGGGACCAUCAAGGCCAACUUUGGGGAGCAGCUAUGACGAGGGCGAUCCCUGGUCCCAGGCCCUGGCAGUGAAUCUCCCCUUAGCUGAACAAUAUAGAGACGUUCAUUAGUUUGGUCAUGAAAAAAAAAAAGGAAAAAAUAAAAGAAAAAAAAAGAAAAAGGAUAGAAAGAAAGAGAAAAGAAAAUAAAAGGAAAAAAGAAAAUAAAAGGAAAAAAUGAAAAAAUAAAAGGAAAAAUGUAAAAGAAAAAAGUCUGGUGCUUGUGCUGCCGCAGCCCGAGCUCGCCCCUUCCACCGGCCCUUUUACCCAAAUGUACGCAUUUUCCAUGAUGUUCUUCAAGGAAAUAUUUGACAACAUUGCAGCCCAGGAAUCUCCAGCCCUCUUCCCGGUGAGAUUUUCAGAAGAUUUCUUGCAUCUGCAGUACACGUGGCUCUCAGAAACAGAAAGCGCCUGAGACAGUGAGCUUCCCGGUGCUCCCUUGCUGGACGCCCGGCCCAUCUGCAGCUCUGUCUUCCCACAGGGGCAGUGCCUGAGGCAACCCGAUAGAUUUUUAAUCUCUGCUGCAUGGACAGUUCUGCCUGGAAAGAUGGUGAUACUAUUUUCCUUACAGCAUGAAUGUGUGCGUAUGGGGCAUGUAAGUUGGGGGGGGGGUGUUGAAGGGGCUCCCAGAAUUUGUUUCUGAGCAAAGUGUCCACAUUAAAGGAAAUUGAUGCCAAAAAGGGGCAGCAGAGAAAGACAGGGAGCAGGCCUGUGACUCAGUUGCUCUCUGUGGAAUUAUAAGUCCUUCCGAGACCGGGAGGGAGCAAGGCAACAAAGAGAAAAGAGAUGGGAACGUGAAUCGGUUUCUAAAAGACCAACCAAAAGGAAAACAAAUUAAAUUUCACUGGGCAGGUGUUGUGUAGUUUCAGAUUUGAAAGAGAGAGGUGCGAUAGGCGUGCAUGUUCACCCCACAGGGAAGAGGGAAUCAGAAGCCAGGGAGACUCCUGGAAAUGGGGACCAUGGAAACAGAGGUGAAAGGGGAACGCGUUCAGGUUUGUUUCUUAAUCAAAGGUAGCAAUUGGCUCCCAGAAACCUGCUAAUGUGGACACUCAACAUGUACCCAUUGGUCUCCAUUUAUGGCUCGUAAUGCCCUGUCUAUUCUCGCUUAGAGGAUGUUGAAAAUGAUGCAAACAAGUUUUUGUUUUGUUUUGUUUUGUUUUAAGGGAGAAAACAAAAUCCACUCAACCAAGUGAUGCCAGGCUUGGGAAGGGAGGAAGGGGCUUUACUGGCUCAAGGAUGUUGCCCACAAUCCAGGGUUCCCUGAGAAAAUGAACGCGCCUCCCUCGUCUCACACCCUCCUCCAAGGCUAGUUUGGGUCCUUUUUGUCCCAGCCGGGUUGUAGUUCAGCCACUCCAGGAACCCCUUCAAGGAUUUACACUUGGACGUGUGCAGACAUGCACAGACCCACCGGCCUGUUUUGUUUGUUUUUUUUGCAAAAUCGAUUGGAGAGCCAGAUCCUGUGUGCCUGGCAUGGGCAAAGGUAACACAGCCCCUGGCAAGUCAGUAAAGAAGAAAAGUUCAGGGUGGGAGCCAGGUGGGGUGCACGCAGAACAGAGGCACAGGGAGACAGAGGAACCCCUGCCCACCCCAGAGAGAGACCGAGGAUAUUCCCUCAUCAGAAUUCAGAGACAUCUAGAGGCUCAGGGACAGGGGCGAGGCCCCAAGAGACAUAUACAAAGAUUGUGGGAGAAUCGGGGACUCAGCACAGUGAGGGAGGUGUGGAUGGAAGGCAAAGACGUGCAGGGAGACAGCAACACACACACAUGCACAGGCACAUACACACAACACGUGCACACACACACCUCACACAGAGCACACAAAUACACACAGAAAACAAAUACACACACAGGCACACACAGAACACACACAGGACACACAAAUGCACACACAGGCACACACAGAGAACACACAAAUGCACACACAGAGAGCGCACAAUACAAGCACACGCAUACACAGAUUCCAUUCACAUGGAUGGAUUUCCUUGGUUGGCUGCAGGGGAGUACCCGGAGGAAGAAGCGGGGUUUGGGGUGGCCAGAGCCCCACUCCAGAGACCCCCAUUCUCAGCUCUGGGUUUAAAACCCCGCUAAUGCAGGAAGGGUCCCAGAGGUGGAGAAGGGUUCCGUCCUGACCCUGGCACUAGCUCUGGCCUUGAGCAAAUGAUUUAAUCUCUCGGUGCCUCAGUCCCCAUCCACAGAGCUGACAUGAGGACCAGGCAAGGAACACCUGAAGUGCGUCCUGCAGGGUCUGGCAGGGGUGGGGGUGGGGGGAUGGGCACCGUAAUCUCAAACCAUGGCCGAAUUGUUAAACAAACAAAUAUAGCCAUUAGUGAUUGGGAGUGUGGGUCCCACCUGGCUAAGACUCCGCUCCACUGCUGUGUGACAUGGGGACAUGGGCUGGUGGCUUUGUCUCUCUGUGCUUGGUUUUCCUCAUCUGCAAAACAAGAACAAUGACAGCACCUCCUUUCUGGGUGGCUGAGCUGAUUAAAUUCGUUAGCUGUGGUUGUUAUUGUUGGGGGUGCAGAGCCCCUUCAAGCCUGGCAGUUUAGGGUCAGGGCCAGGCAUGAGCAGUAGUGGGGAGUCUAAGCUCUUGCGUGCUGGUGAAUGAGCACCUUCCCCUCUGGGCUCUGGGAGGAGCCUGGGGGUCAGCUAGCGGCCUCCUUGAGCCCUUGGAGAACUCAGAAAGACUUCUCAUCACCAAGACGGUGACACAGUCUCAGAUGUAGCCCCCAUCCUCUCAUGGCUGGGCUUGGUCCCCAGUCACCCUCUGCAGUCAACAGAGCCCCUCAUUAAGGGGUCCCCACCACAUUGUAGUGGCUGCCCCAGAACUGGGUCAGAAUCCCACCUCGCUGCCCCAUCUGCUGUGUGGCCCCUGGGCAGCUUCUUGACCUCUCUGAGCCCCCUUUCUCUUUUGCAGGAUGGCAAGAAUAACAGUCCCUGUGCCCUAGGGCAGCCAUGAAGACUAAAUGGAAAGAUAAUGCUGUUAUAAUUAGAGAACCACUGAGCACCCGCAGUGUGCAAGCACUGUGCUGAGGCAUUGCUGUUAUUUGCGCAGUUGCUGUUCUGAAGCCCAUUUCACAGACAGGAAAGCAAGGUGCAGCACAGAGGCAAACAGAUUUGUGAAGAGGUGACCCAAAUUUCAGACAAUGUUGGAUGCAAACGGAUUUGCCAGCAAUUGCAUCACUGUCAAAACCAGCUCUGCCCGUGUCUUCCGAAGAUACCAAGUGAAAUAUGUGUAGAUGGGAUUUACAUCUGAAAAACCAAGUGAGAAACUGAAGACCAGAGAGGGUGAGUGGUUUACCCAGUUUGGCACAACUGACCCCAACCUAGCCCUCCAUGAGGACUGAGCACAUGAGAGAUCCUGAGCCACAGCCACCCAGCCCUGCUCCUCUCGAAUUUCUGACCUACAGGAAGUGCAAGAAGUAAUGAAAGACUGCUGUUUAAAGCCACUGCAUUUUGGCAUGAUUUGUUAUGCAGUCAUAGAUAACCAGAAAACAUCGGAUUUACAUUUUAAGCAUAUGGUCUGUCUUGACGAACGUUUCACAUACAAUCACAAAGAGUGACUUUUCUACACUUGCUGAGAUUACUUCAUGCACAUAAAAGAAAACGCAACUACAGUGGACCCUGAACAACAUCGCCUCCACCCUGCUUCCCUUGUCCCCACACCACACUCCAGCCCAGGAACCAGCCAGCUAUGGCCUGCAGCCACUGAAGAAUGCUCGCAUAAGGAGCUCUUCUCUGCACAUACCCCGACACAGUGAUGGUAUCUUGCAGCUGCUGCUUCUGUCCAAGGCACUGCAGCCUACUCGUCAAAAGCCCGAAGCCCAGCUCUGCCAGCAGUGCACUGUGUGCUCUUAGGAAACAGAGAAGCAAAGAAGUUAGCAAGCUUGUUUUGGCAGAAGAAAAAACACAAAAUGCCCAACCACAGAUCCUCAAAAAUAUUGCUAAGCACUAAUUUUGCUAACAUGUUAGACAGCCUUCGGAUCUAGGCAAUCUUGUUCCUCAGCUGGAAAGAGUUCCUGCCAGCCAUGUGAUUCCAAAUCCACCCUGGACAUAUGGGGAUAAUGAGAAAAUCAGCUCCGGCCUUCCCUGGCCUUCCAGCCAAGUGAAUGGGGGCAUCCCCUGGUGCUUCAGCCCGGGGCCCACCCAGAGGAUGCUAGCUGGCCUGCAGAGGCCUCAACCGUGCCCUCCUGGACUCAGGUAAGACUGAGGUUUCCAUGCCCUCAAAACAAUUGUUCAGACAAAAACUCACUGCCCAGGUCAAAGUCACAGCACCAGAAAGCCAACCUGAGGAUGAAGACAAAGCUCCUUGUUGGCACAGUCCCCUGAUCAUUCAAGGUCAGCAUCUCCAUCAAAAUGGACCCAAUGCUGAGGCAAGAAGGAGAACAUCACUGUUAAGAAGAUGGAAAAUGCAUUUGAGGUGGACUGAACACAGCCAGGAGUUUUUGCUUAUCGACAGCACUGAAUCCUGCCUUGACUAGAGAGACUCGUCAUGUGAUCAACUGUGGCCAGAGGGCAUCCUGCAGACAGCUCCUGUCACACCACACUGACCAGACUCCUAUGAGUAUUUAAGCAUCUUCAGGCAAGCGAUUGACUGUCUUAUAAUGGUCUUACAAGUACGGAGCUUUAUUACCUGCUAAUAAUCAGAGCACAUGAUGGGACAAUAGAAUAUACGAGUGAAGUUCUAAAUGCAAGGUUGUUCUUAUUCUGUGAGUGGCAAAACUCAUGCAGUGAGCAGAUAAAGCUGGCAGGAGGCAUUGGCGCCCUAAUGCUGGGCACUAACCACCUGCCCGGACUGCGAAUAUCUGUUGGGUCCUUUCUAUAUCUGGUCUAUUCUCGUGUUUGAUUAUAUCCUGGUGGCAAGAAUAGCAAAAUCCACUCUCCUUCCUAUCCCAUGUGGAGAGGCAUGAUUUGAGUCAGAGAGCAUUAUCCUCUCUGCAUUAUCCAACCCCAUGUCCCAUGAUGCACUUUGUAGACAAGCAAGUGUCCCUGGUGGAGAAUCCACAGCCACACAUCCUCAUUGGUUGCAAGGAUCAGUGUCCAAUAUCUACUGCCAUGAUCAUUCUCAGUUUUACAUCCACAGAGCUUCAUAGAAUUCUAACACCACAGGUCCAAGUAGAGGUUUUGGCCUCAGAGUGGGCUAGAUUCCACCUCUGAAAGCAGCUGUGGGACUGUUUUUCCAUCUGUAAAAUGGAGACAAGAGUAUCACCUACCUCAUGGUGUUGGUGGGAUCGUUAAACAGAAUUCUGAUCAUGAAACCCUUAGCCUGCUCCCUGCAUAGGCUGCACGCGCUCAGUGACCUAUGGCUCUGUUUCAUGCUGACUUUACCAUCAUGUAAGCAGUUUUAAAAAUGCUAGAAGCUUUAGUCAUAGAAUUACCAUAUGAUACAGCCUACUGCAGAGUCCAGAGGCUGAGGCAGGAGAGUUACUUCAACCUGGGAGGCGGAGGUUGCAGUGAGCCAAGAUCGCGCCACUGCACUCCAGCCUGGGCAACAGAGUGAGAUUCUGUCUCAACAAAAAAAAAGAAGACAUGUGUCCCCAUCACAGUAUCAUACAGAGUGCUUCCACUGCCCUAAAAUACCCUGUGCUCUUCCUAUUCAUCCCUCUCUUCAACCCCAGCAACCACUGAUCUUUUUACCAUCUCCAUGGUUUUGCCUUUCCCAGAAUGUCAUAUUGUUGGAAUCAUACGCUAUGUAGCCUUUGCAGAUGGGCUUCUUUCACUGAGCAAUGUGCAUUGAAGGUGCCUCUAUGUCUUUUCAAGGGUUGAUAGCUCAUUCCUUUUUAUUGCUAAAUAAUAUUCCAUUGUCUGAAAGUACCACAUUUUGUUUAUCCAUUCACCUACUAAAGGACAUCUUGGUUGCUUCCAAGUUUGGGCAAUUAUAAAUAAAACUGCUAUAAACAUUG